CAGACUUCAGCCCCUAUCAACCCUCAUCAGCCCACAGAGCGAGGAAGGCAGGCCUUCCAAUCAGAGUGCUCCACAGGGGUGGCUGGAAAAGCCGGAUAUAGGUGCGGUGGCCAAGGCUUGGUCCGACAGCCCCUACCUGUUUAUAGUGAAGGUACAGCCGCAGCAGCGUGGAGAUGCCAGCGGGGCGCCC